rnacentral:rRNA from 1 species
CAAGUCGAGCGGGAACGGUUCCUUCGGGAACUUAGUAUAGCGGCGGACGGGUGAGUAACGCGUGAUUAAUCUGCCCUCAGGACCGGGAUAGCCAUUCGAAAGGAUGGGUAAUACCGGAUAAGCCCACAGCUUCGCAUGAAGUAGUGGGAAAAAGGUUGGGCUCUUCGGACCUUCCGCCUGUGGAUGAAAUCGCGUCCUAUUAGCUUGUUGGUGGGGUAACGGCCUACCAAGGCAACGAUGGGUAGCGGGCCUGAGAGGGCGACCCGCCACACUGGAACUGAGACACGGUCCAGACUCCUACGGGAGGCAGCAGUGCUGAAUCAUUCGCCAAUGCGCGAAAGCGUGACGGUGCGACGCCGCGUGCGGGAUGAAGGCCUUCGGGUUGUAAACCGCUGUCAGGUCCUAGGAAACCAUAGGGGUGAAUAGUCUCUAUGCUGACCAGGUCCAGAGGAAGCACAGGCUUACUUCGUGCCAGCAGCCGCGGUAAGACGAAGUGUGCGAGCGUUGUUCGGAAUCACUGGGCGUAAAGGGUGCGUAGGCGGCAUGGUAAGUCAGGUGUGAAAUCCCCCGGCUCAACCGGGGAAUUGCUUUUGAUACUGCCAUGCUUGAGAGCGAAAGGGGCAAGCGGAAUUCCAGGUGUAGCGGUGGAAUGCGUAGAUAUCUGGGAGAACGCCGAUGGCGAAGGCAGCUUGCUGGGUCGCGUCUGACGCUGAGGCACGAAAGCUAGGGGAGCGAACAGGAUUAGAUACCUGGUAGUCCUAGCCGUAAACGAUGGGCACUACGUUCCGGAGGGCCUGAUCCCUUCGAAGCGUGAGUUAACGCAUUAAGUGCCCCGCCUGGGGAGUAUGGUCGCAAGGCUAAAACUCAAAGGAAUUGACGGGGGCUCACACAAGCGGUGGAGCAUGUUGUUCAAUUCGAAGCAACGCGAAGAACCUUACCUGGGCUUGACAUGCUAGUAGUACGAACCCGAAAGGGGGAGGACUCUUAACCGAGAGCUAGCACAGGUGCUGCAUGGCUGUCGUCAGCUCGUGUCGUGAGACGUUGGGUUAAGUCCCGUAACGAGCGAAACCCUUGUUGUCUGUUGCCAUCGGGUCAUGCCGGGCACUCUGGCAAGACUGCCGGUGUUAAACCGGAGGAAGGCGGGGACGACGUCAAGUCAUCAUGGUCCUUACGUCCAGGGCUACAAACGUGCUACAAUGGCCAGUACAGAGAGAAGCAAGACCGCGAGGUGGAGCAAAUCUUCAAAGCUGGCCCCAGUUCGGAUUGGAGGCUGCAAUUCGCCUCCAUGAAGUUGGAAUCGCUAGUAAUCGCGGAUCAGCAACGCCGCGGUGAAUAUGUUCCUGAGCCUUGUACACACCGCCCGUCAAGCCACCCAAGCUGGAAGCACCCGAAGUCAGGCGCC